rnacentral:rRNA from 1 species
UGCCAGCCGCCGCGGUAAUACGGAGGGUGCAAGCGUUAUCCGGAAUUACUGGGUUUAAAGGGUGCGUAGGCGGAUUAACAAGUCAGAGGUGAAAGCUUUCAGCUUAACUGAAAAAUUGCCUUUGAAACUGUUAGUCUUGAAUUAUGUUGAGGUUAGCGGAAUGUGACAUGUAGCGGUGAAAUGCAUAGAUAUGUCAUAGAACACCAAUUGCGAAGGCAGCUAGCUAGGCAUUAAUUGACGCUGAGGCACGAAAGCAUGGGGAGCGAACAGGAUUAGAUA